GUGAUAUGGAUGGAACCAGAAACCCUCAUGAGGGGGCAGCAACCUGCUGUGGGCCCUGCUUCGGGCCAGCCCAAGUCUGCACUCAGAGGGCCAUAUUCCUAAAGUGGAUUGUUCUUAUACAGACGGUGCCAACAUGCCACAGCAGAAUACACAGAAGAGUCUGUGUGACUGAUGUGGAUGGUACAUCGAUCUAUGUGUCUCCAUGUGACUUGAAAACAAUGGUCCUGGGACCAUAAUCAUGCUAUGCUGGCUUUUGUGUGUAACAGUGUGUCUUGAUAGUGUUCCAGCACUAGGAGAACACAUCUGUCACAUCUCUUCUGUCCUCUGAGCACCACUAAGCUUCCAGGACAGACAUUUUAAUGUGCUCAAUCUGAAAAGCAAAGAGAACAUUAUUCGACUCUGGGGUGAGAAGAGUACCCCAGAACCCCAUGCUUCCCAACCUACCGAAAAAAAACUCUGGGAAAGUACAUUUUUCCGGAUCCAGCUGGCCUCAGCCAAUGGAUCUCCUCACAAUAAACUGAGGAGGACCUCUCAGGUGACUAUGGACAGUCUGGGGGGAAGAUCUGGCCUCUCACAUUGUGAUAUCCCUAAGACAACUGUAUUGUUCACCUGGCCCCAUCCCCAGGAAUAUAAAGCCACUGUCCUGAAGACGUUAAGCCCCAGCUCCAUGGCUUCUGAGCCACGGGUUGGGGACCGGUCUGGCUGAGAAUCGGACAGCCUCACGGAGAGCAGGCCAGAUGUCCAGGAGGCAGUGUGGACACAGGACCCUCCUGCAGAGGAAGACCUGUCCACCCCAGCGCUGAUCUCUCCUGGUAAAAUCCCACACAGGAAGGACAGGCUUUUCACAGGGUCUUGCUCAGAGGGGAGGGCUGAGGUGCAAAGGGGCCCUAAGCUGUCUCAUGGAACAAUAGCCCCUUGCCCUCUUCCCCUGCCUGGAUAAACAUCAGAGAUUGCCCUCUGGGUAUUCAAUCACCUUUGCUCCCUGUUUCUGGGCAGAGAACAUGGUCUUCUCCAUGAGGUGAGACUUCUCUCCUCAGAGAGAGUAUUUCUAGUCAGCCUGUCCUACCUGCCCCAAGAGGGGUUCCCAGGUUCAGAAUGUGGCCAGCAAGCAGCCCUGUCGAGCUCCAAUAGAGUUUAGCUGUGGUGACUGUGUUCCCCAAAAUAUUGUACAUCCUAAUAAAUUUAUCUGAGUCAGAGGACAGAACAGCCACUAGA